rnacentral:rRNA from 1 species
GUGCUGCAUGGCUGUCGUCAAAAAAAAGUUGUGAAAUGUUGGGUUAAGUCCCGCAACGAGCGCAACCCUUAUCCUUGUUUGCCAGCACUUCGGGUGGGAACUCCAGGGAGACUGCCGGUGAUAAACCGGAGGAAGGUGGGGACGACGUCAAGUCAUCAUGGCCCUUACGAGUAGGGCUACACACGUGCUACAAUGGCGUAUACAGAGGGCGGCGAGCUAGCGAUAGUGAGCGAAUCCCACAAAGUACGUCGUAGUCCGGAUUGGAGUCUGCAACUCGACUCCAUGAAGUCGGAAUCGCUAGUAAUCGUGGAUCAGAAUGCCUCCUGAAUACGUUCCCGGGCCUUGUACACACCGCCCGUCGUCACCACGGGAGUGGGCAGCACCAGUAAGCAGAUAGCUC